UACAGAGGUCCCGAGCGUUGUUCGGAUUCACUGGGCGUAAAGGGCGCGUAGGCGGUCUGCUAAGCGUGUGGUGAAAGCUCGGGGCUCAACCCCGAGUCUGCCAUGCGAACUGGUGGACUGGAGCACUGUAGAGGCAGGUGGAAUUCCGGGUGUAGCGGUGGAAUGCGUAGAGAUCCGGAAGAACACCAGUGGCGAAGGCGGCCUGCUGGGCAGUUGCUGACGCUGAGGCGCGACAGCGUGGGGAGCAAACAGG
rnacentral:rRNA from 1 species